GACCAACCCUAGAUCCUCCGGAACUUCAGACUUCCGACCAAGCUUUAAGCAUACUUGUUUUGUCUCCUUUCCCGAUCCUGAAACUUUGAUUCUUUUGUCCUCACUUCGAAUCCUUCCUCUGUUUUCUGAUUGGUUAUCUCCUCUGACUUCCGAGACCCCUCUGCCUUUCUGUAGCUUUCUCAGUUCCAAAGACAACGAUGGACAAGCUUCAUCAAGCUUCAAUAAUGCUCAGCUUCGCCAAGCACCCGUCGAACUUCUCUCCUGGUAGCGUCUUUGUCAACAUAUCAGACGGAUUAACUGAGAUGCCUUCCCUUACUGCAUCCGAUAAAGCCAUGCAUUCAGCUUCAGUGGUUGACAAUGCUACCACCUUUUGUAGCGAUGAUCUCCAACUGACGGUGUUGCCUCCAACCGUGUAGACAUAACUGGUGAUUGAUCUGCUCUUGUCCAAGUCUGACGCAUAAUCCGAGUGGCACUAGCCUCUGACUUUGAAUUCCUCAUUUUUUGUGAAAGUUAAGUUCAAAUACAAAGCUCCUUGUAUAUCUCUCAUGAUCCAUUUGACUGUUAACAAAUGGUCCCUUCCAAGUUUGCUCAUGUACCUGCACACGAGCCCUACUGCGUAUGCCAGGUCUGGUAUGGAUCCUGCCAUGACAUACAUUAAGCUUCCCACUGCGCUGGAGUAAGAUAAAAUGAUAAAGACCCGUAGCUGGCCAUCGACCACCCUAUCAAUCGAUGGGCGAAGGCAAUAAUCGAUCGACACACACUCUGUGUUGUCGAUCGACAGCGAAGCGCGCGGAAGACAAAUUGGGUUCCAACCAAUUUUAAGCUCAAGUCCCACAAGAAUUACUGACAAGUUUUAACCUAGUGAACAAGUCAAACCCGCGCGGUAAAAAUUGCUAGAAGGAACUUCGAUCGAUAACUCAGUAGUUGCAUCGAUCGACGGGCUGAAAGGUGUAUCGAUCGAUAAUCCUUAAUCGGUAUCGAUCGACACUUUCUCAAGACCAACAAACAACAAGUGUGUGUUGUUUUGGGCAACACACGCUUUCAUACUUUCAUAUUUUCACAUCAAACAUAUUUAGGGGUUUUAGUAGUUUGGAGAGAAGAUCCAAGACUUCUUCGGAGAUUUGUAUUGGAAUUCCAGUUUUUCUACCUUAUUCUAUUUAUGCAUUCUAUUCAGAUAUUUAUUAUGUUCUGCUUUGCUAUGUUUGAGUAAUUACUAUUGUUAGAUUUAGGGGGUUAUAAGGGAUUAGCCCAAACUAUGGAUCCACUAAGGUGAUAAGAUUUUCUUCAAGGAAUUGUUUGUAAUUCUUGUGUUCUAGAAUAGCUAACUAGAACCAUGAACUUAGGAUAAUUAGGCGCACACGACGACAUGGUCUGUUAUCUGAAUUAAUACCCUUGAGCUAGAAUUGCUAAAAUCAGCUGAUUCAAGACUAGUGAACCUAUCGAUUGACGCUAAUCUCAUAGCAUCGAUCGACGUUGGAUCCGUAUCUACAAGCGACAACUGAGAUAUUCGACUUAGUCAAUAUGAUUGAUUUGUACGAGGAAGCUAGAAUACUUUCUCAUUAGAAUUCGAGUUCUAGGAUUGACAACAUGAGCAUCUAUAUCAUUAUAAUCAUGAUUACCUAAAACCCUAGAUCUAGCUACUUUUUCAUAAUUGUUUACAACCUCAACCAAUCAAUCAAUCAACUGAAUAACUAUCUUGUUCACCUCUGCUAUUUAUUGAUUUACUCUGUUUGCCUAGGUUAAUCAUAAACUGAUUAGGAUCUAUUGUGUACAUGAUAAUGUGGGAACUUAUUUAUGCUACUCGACUUUGCCUCAUGUACCCGAUGAGGGACUUUGGUAAUUUUAACACUUGGUCAAAAUUUUAAUAAUGUUUUACAUUUCGAGUUCCUCACUUCACUCCCAUUAUUUCUCAUUCAAUUUACAUUUGUUUUUGACUUAUGAAUAUACUAGAUUGUGUAGUACUCGUUGCAAUUUUUUUUUAACGAGCUGAUAAUCCGGUCAUAACAACCACCGGUUUUGCCUGAAAGACCACCAGAAAGUUGACAAAAGUCAGCCUCUUUAUUCAAGUCAAAACAGAGUUCAAACAUUAACAUGUUCUUCGUAAUUUAUAAAUCUGAUCUAGGAGUUUAGAGGUAGUUCUGAUCAGAUUUAUAAUUAGAGGUAGUUUUUUCGUAUUUUGGCUAUUAUAAGUGUAUAUAUGUACAACAUCAAGAUGCUGCAAAAAUUAGCAAAAUAAGCUUAUGUUAUGAUCUAUUAAUAAUUUCAAAACAAAAACAGUCUAGACUUCAUAUUCUCAAGAAGUCCGACCUCAUAGGAAGUUCCUUCUAGGUCCGGCCUUUUCAAAAAUUUAAUGCAACUAAGACCUUUGAUAUAGCUUUCAUAUGCAAGAGGAAUGAAGUAUUUUAAUUUUGUGGUUGAAAAUAUAUACAAGAUUUAGUGAAAACAUGUUCAUCUCACGACCAAACGGAGAAACCGUAGACAACAUGGCCCAAGCCUUUGCUAGUGCUAAACCAUGUAUCGCAACGUCAAUGCUGUCAUAAAUGAGGGUGGCCAUAUUUCUAACCAUGAUUUGUCUUGGCCGCACAAUUCAAACCUCGACCAUGAUCUUUGUUCGAUCAUAUUUGACCAAGGGCGACCUCUCCAUUGUGCUUAACCUCGGCUAUACCGCGUCACCUCGGCCGCGAUAACAUAUUUGACCAAGGGCGACCCAACUUCAGUCCAGCACCGCUAGACUUAUCCACUGCUGGCCAACUUUGGUUACAACUCUUAUGUGUCCAAGGGUGACUCUGUCUUUGAGUAAUUUUUGUAUUUAUCCUUUUUACUUAACCAUAGACCCACUUAGUAUUGUAUAUAUGUGUGUGCGUGUUUUAGCUUUUUGUUUAAUAGAAACCUAAAUACAUCAAAUUCACGAAUCUAGAGAGUAA